GGAGUCUAGCAUGUGCGCGAGUCAUUGGGACUAGCGAAACCCAAAGGCGAAAUGAAAGUGAAGGCGCGCCUCGCGCGCGCCGAGGGAGGAUGGGCCGCGCAACGUCGCGGCCCCGCACUCCCGGGGCGUUUCGUUCUCAUCGCGAGAUGAGGCGCACCCGGAGCGUACACGCUGGGACCCGAAAGAUGGUGAACUAUGCCUGGUCAGGACGAAGUCAGGGGAAACCCUGAUGGAGGUCCGUAGCGAUUCUGACGUGCAAAUCGAUCGUCGGAACUGGGUAUAGGGGCGAAAGACUAAUCGAACCAUCUAGUAGCUGGUUCCCUCCGAAGUUUCCCUCAGGAUAGCUGGCGCUCGCUUCGCGAGUCUCAUCCGGUAAAGCGAAUGAUUAGAGGCAUUGGGGUCGAAACGGCCUCAACCUAUUCUCAAACUUUAAAUGGGUGAGAUCUCCGGCUUGCUUGAACGCUGAAGCCGCGAGAUUUUCACGAAAGGAUCAGGGUGCCAAGUGGGCCACUUUUGGUAAGCAGAACUGGCGCUGUGGGAUGAACCAAACGCAGAGUUAAAGCGCCCAAAUAGACGCUUAUGGGAUACCAUGAAAGGCGUUGGUAACUUAAGACAGCAGGACGGUGGCCAUGGAAGUC
rnacentral:rRNA from 1 species